CGUAGGUGGCAAGCGUUGUCCGGAUUUACUGGGCGUAAAGCGCGCGCAGGCGGAUGGUUAAGUAGGAAGUGAAAGGUUGGAGCUCAACUCCAACAUUGCUCCCUAUACUGGCCGUCUUGAGUCCCGGAGAGGAAAGCGGAACGACACGUGGAGCGGUGAAAUGCGUUGAUAUGUGUCGGAACACCAAUGGCGAAGGCAGCUUUCUGGACGGGUACUGACGCUCAGGCGCGAAAGCCGAGGUAGCGAACAGGAUUAGAUACCCUGGUAGUCUCGGCCCUAAACGAUGAUCACUAGGUGUCGGGGGGUUUCCCUCGGUGCCGCAGCUAACGCAUUAAGUGAUCCGCCUGGGGACUACGGCCGCAAGGUUG
rnacentral:rRNA from 1 species